rnacentral:rRNA from 1 species
UACAGAGGGGGCAAGCGUUGUUCGGAAUUACUGGGCGUAAAGGGCGCGUAGGCGGCCUGCUAAGUCGAACGUGAAAUCCCUGGGCUCAACCCAGGAACUGCGUCCGAUACUGGUUGGCUUGAAUCCGGGAGAGGGAUGUGGAAUUCCAGGUGUAGCGGUGAAAUGCGUAGAUAUCUGGAGGAACACCGGUGGCGAAGGCGGCAUCCUGGACCGGCAUUGACGCUGAGGCGCGAAAGCCAGGGGAG